UGUGACACCCGGCGGAUGUAAACAAAGAAACAUGAGCAGAGUUAGCUUCACUGCUGUGUGGACUGAGCUGUAAAACGGCUGUAUUAUAGUAUGAAUGAGAAAUAUCAGGGCGAUAAAGUAACGAUGUGUUCAGUUGAGUAUCUGAGAGAGUUGAUCAGCGACAGACUAGCUGCUGCUGCUGGAGAAAUAUUCUCAGAGUUUGAAAAAACCAUCGUCCAGUACCAGGAGGAGAUCGAUCGUCAGCGCAGACUGCUGGAUGUCAUCUGGAAACCACACAUCCCCUUACAACCCACAGAGCUCCCACAGUCUUAUGUCUGUGAGAAUGAGAAGACUGUUGUUGACCAUCAGCCCCAUGACCAGGAGAGAAACUCCAUGGUGGAUCAUGAGGACCCAGAGCCUCCACGGAUUACAGAUCAGCAGGAGGAAUUCUGCACCAGUCAGGACCAAUCAAACCCAGAGAUUUCUCAAAUUAAAAUGGAACAGGAAGAAUUGUGCACCAGUCUGGACCAAUCAAACCCAGGGUUACCACAAAUUAAAGUGGAACAGGAUGAACUCUGCUCCAGUCAGGAGGAAGAGUUAAUUGGAUUGAAACAGGAGACUGAUACCUUUGAGGUGACUCCUGCUGAUGAGGAAAGUGACCACAGUGAACUAAAACCAAACAGUGAUCAGCUCCUAUUUCACAUCUCUUGUGUAGCUGAGAGCCCAGAUCAGGAAGGAAGCAAGGAUGUAGACUCAGGAUCAACUAGAUGUAUCGACCUGAAACCAAGACAUCAGAGUAACAACAGUCACAGUAAUGAUGUAGACAAUGCUCCAACAUCAGCGAGACAGUGUGAUAAUGACAAGGCAACAAAAUCUGCAACUUGCAAAGUCUGUGGAAAAGCUUUUAGUUGUAAAUCAGAUUUAAUCAAACAUCACAAAACCCACACAGGUGAGAAGCCAUAUUCUUGUGAAACCUGUGGAAAAACCUUCAGUCAACGGGUCCAUUUGACUGUUCACAUGAGAUGUCACACAGGUGAGAAGCCGUAUGUUUGUGGAACCUGUGAAAAAAGCUUCAGUCAACGGACUUCUUUGACUGACCACAUGAGAUGUCACACAGGUGAGAAGCCAUAUUCUUGUGGAACCUGUGGAAAAAGCUUCCGUAAACAGGUCCAUUUGACUGUUCACAUGAGAUGUCACACAGGUGAGAAGCCGUAUGUUUGUGGAACCUGUGAAAAAAGCUUCAGUCAAUGGACCUCUUUGACUGACCACAUGAGAUGUCACACAGGUGAGAAGCCAUAUUCUUGUGGAACCUGUGAAAAAAGCUUUAGUCAACGGACCUCUUUGACUGACCACAUGAGAUGUCACACAGGUGAGAAGCCAUAUUCUUGUGGAACCUGUGAAAAAAGCUUCAGUCAACGGACCUCUUUGACUGACCACAUGAGACUUCACACAGGUGAGAAGCCAUAUUCUUGUGGAACCUGUGGUAAAAGCUUUAUUCGACGGACCUCUUUGACUGAACACAUGAGACAUCACACAGGUGAGAAACCAUAUGUUUGUCACAUUUGUGGAAAAAGAUUUUCUGGUUCAUCAGCUCAUUAUAAGCACAUGGCAGUUCACAAAAUGGGAAAACCAUAUUCUUGUGGAACCUGUGGUAAAAGCUUUAGUCGACAGGACCAUUUGACUGUCCACUUAAGACGUCACACAGGUGAGAAGCCAUAUUCUUGUGGAACCUGUGGAAAAAGCUUUAAAUAUAGUUAUCAAUUAAAAGCCCACAUGAGAAUCCACACAGCUGAGAAGUCCUGAUCCUGAAACAUCUGUGGAAAACAUAAUGUCAGAAUUAAGGUUGAAACAACAUGUAAGAAUUGGUACAGGUUAAAAGUAGAUGUUUUAGAUUUAAAGCAGCUUUAGUCUGUGCUUCAACAACAACUGUGAGGAAGUAUGUAAGCAAUCCUUGAUGAUUAGACCAGAUGGAGUCUGGACUGUGGUGGUGGUGGAGCAGGCAGAAGAACCAAACUGAAUGUCUGGAUGGAUAUGGUAUUGGUACAGACUGCUACAUUUCUGCUAUCAUGACAUCCUUCAUCAGCAGAGCACUGAUUGGAGAUAAUGUGAAGCUGUUUGGAACAUUUUCACAUCCUGCUGAGAGAACAUGGCUGUUCAGGUGUGAACAUACUGCUGGAAUCCACUCAGCUUGAGCUCUGCUGUCUUUCUAGUAAAAGGAGGCAACGAGAUACAGAGACAUUGUGACAGUAGGACACAACAGAGUGUGUCACUGCAGCAGAGGAGAUCUGGACGUGAAAUAAAGUUGUAAUAAAACGUCUACAGCUCCAUGACUGCUUCAUGAAAUGUUUUGAAUGUUUUCAAACAGAUGAACAUUUACAAGUUGUUUCAUAAUUAAUGUAACAUUGAAGAGCCCCAGCAAGAAUAACUCUGAGUCAGAUGUCAAAGACAUAACCAACAUUAUUAUGUUUUCAAGCAACAGACAUGUGGUUUUACUAGUAGUAGCUGAUACACUCCUGCAAAUGUCAAAACCAGAAAUGUUAAAAACAGGUGAAGCUGUGCUGCAGUUUCUGCUGGUUACAUAAAGGUCUUAUGCUAUUUAUUUCUUCUGUUGUCACCACAUAGGUCAUCUGUGUGAUUUGUUAGUAGGAUCUCAUUGUGUCGUCAUACAGCACAUCGAACCCUUGUAUUGUCUGAACGUCCUGAACACUCCUCCUGUCCUCAGGGUCAGAAAUGACCUGCCUCCACUGAGCCUCUAAAAUAGAGCAGCUUAAUGGAAUUUUUAACCAAAAAUCUAUUUUACAUGAAGAAACAACCUGUCAUGCAUCACACACUUUGUGAAUGCCUGUUUUUGCUUCCUCAGAGGGUAGAAAGACUGUAUUUAAUCAGUGAACACCAUUCGUUUUUAUUCCAUUGUUCAUGCUGUAACUGUUUUCUUUCUUUAAGUAGAGGUUUAUUAUCACUAUUAUUGCUGCUAAAGGUACUGCAUAGGUGUAAACAUUUCUUGUUUUGCAAGAGAUAAUACUUCUAUAGCCUAAUAAAGUACCAGAAAUGUGCAGAAAUGAACUUGAAAUGCAUUUUUGAAGGGAAACAACAGUGUACUGUAUACUGUACAAUGGAAUAUAAAACUACAAAACUCAACUACCA